rnacentral:lncRNA from 1 species
CAAGUUUCUUGUGAUUCAACUUUUCAAACAAACAUAUUGCAAUUAGUACUAGCAUCAAUGAAAGCAUUUUAUCAAUCUACUGUCUGUUUCGUUAAAGUAUUAUACUAGAUCAAUUGAGAAAGAGAAAGAAAGUCAGAUACCCAUUCUCAGCGUAUGUAAUUCCCAGAAUCCCAGACCCAGAAAAAUAAGAGACUAACACACAACAUAUAACAGAUCAAUUGAGCAAAAACCCAUCAUUCAUCACCUUCCGAAAGCAAAAUUUCAUAGAGAGAGAACAAUCCAAAUAAAUUAACCAAGAUGUAAUCAAUAAUCAUACCCACAGGAAAGUAUCCUGCUUAAUUCCUUUUGCUUCCAAACACAGGAAAGUAAAGACUUUCCUUUCCCAAGGUUUUGAUUCCAUGAACCAAACACAGCCUAUAAGAAAGAGACUGGGUUACCUGAUUGAGAGAGAAAACAUGUUGUUGUGUUCGAGAGAGACAGAGAGAAAGAUGGUGAGGUCAAGAGAGAUGGUGAGGUCGAUAGAGAUGGUGAGGUCGAGAGAGAGAUGGUGAGGUCUGGAGAGAUGGUGACUGCGAGAGAGAUGGUGAGGUCGAGACAGAGAGAGAUGAGUUUCAAACAAAAAGAGAGAGGCGGCUUUCAGACACUGAAAAUGAAAGGGUGUGUUCAAACACUUAGUGAAAAUGACAAUCCUUGGUUGACCGUGCAAAGGGUUUGUACCCUAGCUAAUUGGAAAGGGUGUGUUCAUCAGACAACAUACAUAUAUUGUCUGAGUUGACCAACUAAUACCAAUCAUUAUUCUAAAUUAACCAAAUUAAACACGUACUCAUUUUGGUCAUCAAAGUGUUGACUUUGAAAAGUAUUGGUCACAUGACAUAUAUAUGUCGUUUGAAGUGACUAAGCAAGACUCGAUUAACAUUGACCGCAUCGACCGAGACCCGAACUUUAUCAAAAAUGCAUGAAUUUUGUUCUACACCCAUAUUCACUAUCAUGAUGACAUCUGACACUCAAACUUGGAAAAAAUUUAUUUUCGUCAUUUGAAUAACAACGUGCGUACUAAUGUUGCUAUAAUAUGUUUACCAAGUUCUUUGUAAACAUACAUCUUUAUAAAGGAACUAUAUGCAAGAAACAAAAUUUACCUAAUAUGACCGUUGGAUAUGAUCGUAGUACUUAAAUAUGUAUGUAGAAGAAAAUUUACCCAUUUUCGAUAACUUAUAGGUCUCGAUCAUUAGAGUCAACUUCAAUUAUACAUAAAACGUUCCUAUUUUUCCUCACGGGGAGGAUAUGAUCGGUCGAUAAACAUGUCCAAAUGUUCACAUAAAAUAGUUUCGUUGACACUAAAGAGGGUAUAAGAAUUGACGAAUCUCAACUUUAAGUAU